AAACCCCUUCUUUACUAAGUAUUAAAAAGAUUCACAGUUGACCUACAAGAUAUAGGAAUCCCUCUCCCCCUCCUGAGAUCUGAUGAAAAAAUUGGGUCAAUUUUCAUGUUUUGCAGGGAAUUGCUGGUUCCCACGUCUAAAUGUAGGACUGAUGACCGUAGACCCUUUUGUUGAGGGGGGGUGGUGAUGUUUAUGUGGUGCAAUCUUUAAGUGAGCCCAUAAGCCAAAAGCAGCUUAUGCACUGGUUACCUGUCCUGCAACCUCGCAACUGGUUACCUGUCCUGUAACGCAAGUGAUAACUCCAUCAGCACGAGCAAUUACUUUAGCCAAAAAAUUUAUAAUGGAUCACACCACAUAGUUCCUUAUUUUGGGCUUGAUGAGGAGUUAUCCACUACAAAUUUUUUGGUUAAAGUAAUUGUUUGUGCUGAUGGAGUUAUCACUUGUGAGGUUGCAGGACAGGUAACUGGUAUUUUCCUUUUAUCAAAAAAAAAAAGAAGCACCAAUCGUUAGUUUUGUUUGCUGACUUGUGAUCUCCUCCUUUGUGUUUUGCAAAAUCAGAAGCUGAUGGUGGAUUACCUUGCCUAUAAGGAGACUAUUGCUAGAGGAGCUGAUUUCUUACGACUGGAGGGGGCUCGGGAAGUGUAUGCUUGUAGUCCAUAUGGUAUUUUUAGCUCUCCGGCGAUUCAAUGGAGUGUUUAAUGAGGUCAUCGUCACGGAUACCAUCCCGGUGGUUGAUAAGCAUUUUACCCAGUUCUGUUUUACCUAUGGCAGAGGUGUUGGGAAAGCAAUUUUGGACCUACACAAGGAGUUCAGAGUGACAGGUAGAUUGUCCAUCGGAGCAAGAACACCCCUUGUUGAUAUGAAGGACUAUGUUUUGUUUUGGUAUUGUAAUAGAUUGCAUCUAGACUUUGUUUUUCGUUUGUUUGGUAUUAUGUUCUUUUUGGUGUUGUUGCACUAAGACUUUAUUUCCUUUUGUCUCUGUCACUUCUAGUCACCGGACAUAUGGUGUACAAUCCCCUUGACAAUUUUAAAGUUGUUUUAGUUAGUAUUUUGGA